UCUACUUGUUGAGGUCUUUGCUUAACGGUAGGCCAGUGGUCAAACCGAAAGUUGCGAGGUAAAAACUCAAGCUAUAACAGGUUAGUUGUUUAUUUUCUUAGUAGAUGUUUAUUUAUUCUUCGUCAAUAGACUUUGGUAUUCGUUUGCAGUCAGAGUACUGGGAAAAUUUCCGUCAAAAGAGUACUGGGAAUUUCAACCGGAGUUGCCUCAGUCUCACAUCGCAAAAAAAAGGAGAAAGCAAGACGUAGGCAUGAGAUGAAUCGGUCGAUGGAAAACUACGCGCAUCGAGUAGUGACAUCUCCGUGCCAACGAAUCGUUGGUCCACAUUUUUUUUCUGUGCAAUUUGGUUUGUAUUUAUAAAGUUUUUAUUUUAAACUUGUGCAAGUUGAUGCUUUUGUUGAGUGUUUGACAUUUCCCAGUACAAAUGGUGCUUGAUAGGAAGCCUUCGUCUUUUAAUAGGUGGUUUCUUAACUUCAAAAUGAGCUUAUUUAAGGAGUCAUAUGACUGCUCUUUUGGAAUGGUUGGUUCCUCU
rnacentral:lncRNA from 1 species